rnacentral:rRNA from 1 species
UAUUGGUCAAUGGACGCAAGUCUGAACCAGCCAUGCCGCGUGCAGGAUGAAGCAUCUAUGGUGUGUAAACUGCUUUUGUACGGGAAGAAACCCUCCUACGUGUAGGAGCUUGACGGUACCGUAAGAAUAAGGAUCGGCUAACUCCGUGCCAGCAGCCGCGGUAAUACGGAGGAUCCAAGCGUUAUCCGGAAUCAUUGGGUUUAAAGGGUCCGUAGGCGGCUUUAUAAGUCAGUGGUGAAAGCCCAUCGCUUAACGAUGGAACGGCCAUUGAUACUGUAGAGCUUGAAUUACUUGGAAGUAGCUAGAAUAUGUAGUGUAGCGGUGAAAUGCUUAGAUAUUACAUGGAAUACCAAUUGCGAAGGCAGGUUACUAUAAGUGGAUUGACGCUGAUGGACGAAAGCGUGGGGAGCGAACAGG